CCCGUCAUCUCGGCGCUUUCCCUUCACCGAGUCGCUCUGCUUCUUCAUAUUCUUCUGGCGGGCGAGCUCGCGCUGGUUACCGCCUAGAGGAAGGAGGCAAAAGGCUCACCAGAGGAUAUGUUUUUAUUGGUUUUAGAGAGAGAAGAGAGAGAAACAUCGUUUAGCCACCUCCCUUGCUCUACUGCGGAUGAAACCCUCCACCUGAGUAUGUUCCCUGACCCAGAAUCCAACCUGCGACCUUUCAGUGCCUGGGAGGACACUCCGGCAGAGCCACACCCAGCAGGCUGGAUGUGAAUUUUAACUUGUGAUUUUGUCCAGCUAGCUCCCAUAGCAGAACCCGCUUGAGGCUGGAACUUCAAACCGGCUUCUCCCUCAUAGUUUUUGCCAUACCUAACUAAGUAUCACUUGAACUACUGUCUAUUACUUAAUUUUCUUUGUAUAUGUCUUAAAUGAAGCAUGUAAGUCAAACCUCA